AGUUAGGUCUCCAAGUUCGUUAACAACGUGGUGGUUGGUGGUCUUACUGCUCUUUGUAUGGAUGCACUUAAUGGGUGCUUUGAUUGCGUCCAGCUAAUACUGGAUAUCAUGGAAGCACUACGCAUAAUCGCAUUACAGGUACACAACAAGUCCACAUAUGUUCACUGGAGAUACUGAAAAUGAAUUUGCACGAAAUCAAUUUUGGUGGUGGUCGGCGGCGGUGGGGAUGGUGUCUACGACGGCGGAGCUGGUGUUCCGUGGCGGAGGUGGUAAUCUUAAUUUUACUCUUGAAUGAGAAUUUUAUCAGCUUGGGAUGGAAAUAUAUACACCAUCACAAUAGUUUUUAGAAAACAUUUUUAGCCCAGAAAGUGUAGGAAAAGGAAAAUUAAAACGCUACCAAUUUCAGUUUCAUCUAAAUUUGGUGAAACCGAUUUUGGUUUCAUGUAAAUUUUCCUUAAUUUUUUUAAAGUUUUUCGGUAAAACCAACGUUGUUGGUGAUAAAUAGUAUUCUAUUAAAACAAGCAUUUAUUUCAUCUGCGUUUGAUCAAUAUCUUUUGAGGUUUUGUUGACGAAACUAAACUUUUCUAAGUGAUUUUUUUGUUGAAACAGUUUUGGUUUCAUCUGAUUUGUUUUUUAUUUUCUAUGAAACCAGUUUUGGUUUCAUCAAUGUUUCAUUAAUGAUACCGAGAUGGAUUUUUUUCUGAUGAAACCAAACAGUUUUUGAUGAAACCAGUUUUGAUUUCAUCAAAAUUUUAGUUACUCAGGUGAUGGUAUUGGCAGUUGUGGUGCUACUGGGGGUGGUAAUGGUGGUGGUGUUGUUGACAUCGGUGGUGGUUGGCGUUGGUGGUGGCUAGUGGUGGUUGGAUUUGUUCGAAGCGGCGGCGGCGGUGGUUUUAUGAAUAUUUGGUGGUGGUGGGUGGUGGAUGACGUUACCAUAAGUUGCUGGUUGGUGGUGGCGAUGGUAUGUGAGCUGGUCGACGGCAUUGGCGGUGGUCCGCGAUAAUGGUGGUCGCCAUCGGCGAUGGUAGAGUCAAUUCCUAAAUUAAGCAGAAGUAUAAGAAGAAGGUGUGGGAGGAGGAAGCCGAGAAAAAAUGUGGGGGUACCUUAAUGCUUUGGAAUUGCCUUACAAAAAGGAAGAAGAUUAUAGAGUCAAUUCCUACCUUCUGGUCAACUGCGUUUCUGGGUUUACCUUCGCCUCAAAAACUCCUGACUGAAGAAGACAAGAAGGUUUGAAUCUGAUACGUGAACUGAAAUUUAUAACUCUAUAUGAUUAUGUUUCAUGAUAUUCCCUUUGAUACAUAUGAUGAUUUCCCCUGAUUUAUAUAUGUCGAGGGAUUAGUUGUUGAAACCUGACAUUCUAAUCUGUGAAUGUUUGACGCUAACAUUAGGGUUUCAUCUUAUUUUUAUGAUGAAACCAAAAUCGGUUUCAUCGUAUUAAUGAUGAAACCAAAAUCGGUUUCAUCUAAUUUUUGAUCGGUGGUGGUGAUGGGCGGUCGUGGUGCUGGUGGCGGUGCGGCAGUUGGUGCUGAUUUUGGUCGGUAGUGGUCAACGGCGUUGGUGAUCGGCGGUGGUCGAUAGUGGUGGUUGGCGGUGAUGGUGGUCGGUGGUGGUGGCAUGAUGGCAUGCUGUUGUUGGUGGAGAUUAUAAAAUUAAAGGUGGAGUUGAUUUUUAUUUUUGUUGGGGUGAUUUAAACUAGAAGGGUAAUAUAAACAGUUUAUGUUAAAUGGGGUUUUUGUGAAAAAAAUUGUUUUAUUGGAGUUUUCGUGCAUGGAUAGUGACACCUCUGGUAUUGUAACUUGCGGACUAUAGUUAAUAUGUUAUUAUUGAGACUGUCAAGUGUUAAUGUUUUCUGAUUGAUUCUAGA